UUUCACACUGUCAAGAAAAGUCUCUAUCGAGGUUAAAGGUACCCGUACCGCAAACCGACACAGGUGGGUGAGGGGAGUAUCCUAAGGCCAGCGAGAGAACUGUUGUUAAGGAACUCGGCAAAAUGACACCGUAACUUAGGGAUAAGGGGUGCCACCAUCAGGUGGCCGCAGAGAAUAGGCCCAAGCGACUGUUUACCAAAA
rnacentral:rRNA from 1 species